rnacentral:rRNA from 1 species
GACAGAGGGGGCAAGCGUUGUCCGGAAUUACUGGGCGUAAAGCGCGCGCAGACGGCUGAUGAUGUGCCUGGUGACAGUCCGCCGCUCAACGGCGGGAGGUCUGGGUAGACAGGUCGGCUGGUAGGUGGGAGAGGGGUGUGGAAUACCCGGUGGAGCGGUGAAAUGCGUAGAGAUCGGGUGGAACACCAGUGGCGAAGGCGGCACCCUGGCCCAUACUAGACGUUGAGGCGCGACAGCGUGGGGAGCAAACGGG